rnacentral:lncRNA from 1 species
UUUACGAUCUAUAAUUAAACUCUAAAAAUAGAUUAAACAACUUUGUAUAUUUAUAUUUGAAGUCUCAGAUUACUAGACACUUAAAAUUUAAGAACCUAAAUUGAUGGCUAAUUUAUAAAUUGCAAAGAAAAAGCAAGUUACAAAAGAUGCACAACAAUGAAUAAUAGUUAAUUUCGUGAUCAAAUUCUAUCGUAAUAUUCUAUCUAAAAUCCUAUGCAUAAUGGUAUAUGAAAGUAAAAUAAAAAUAAAAACUAUCAACUCAUAAAAG